CAGCCGCCGCGGGAACACGAAGGGUGCAAGCGUUGUCCGGAAUUAUUGGGCGUAAAGGGCUCGCAGGCGGUUUCUUAAGUCUGAUGUGAAAGCCCCCGGCUCAACCGGGGAGGGUCAUUGGAAACUGGGAAACUUGAAUGCAGAAGAGGAGAGUGGAAUUCCACGUGUAGCGGUGAAAUGCGUAGAGAUGUGGAGGAACACCAGUGGCGAAGGCGACUCUCUGGUCUGUAACUGACGCUGAGGAGCGAAAGCGUGGGGAGCGAACAGGAUUAGAUACCCCUGUAGUCCCUGUCUCUUAUAC
rnacentral:rRNA from 1 species